UACAGAGGUCCCAAGCGUUGUUCGGAUUCACUGGGCGUAAAGGGUGCGUAGGUGGCGAGGUAAGUCGGAUGUGAAAGCUCGGAGCUCAACUCCGAAAUGGCAUUGGAAACUACCUUGCUCGAGGGUUGGAGGGGGGACUGGAAUGCUUGGUGUAGCAGUGAAAUGCGUAGAUAUCAAGCGGAACACCAGUGGCGAAGGCGGCGACCUGGGUAGAUACUGACGCUGAGGCGCGAAAGCGUGGGGAGCAAACAGG
rnacentral:rRNA from 1 species